rnacentral:rRNA from 1 species
CCUACGGGUGGCAGCAGUGAGGAAUAUUGGUCAAUGGGCGCGAGCCUGAACCAGCCAAGUAGCGUGAAGGAUGACUGUCCUACGGGUUGUAAACUUCUUUUAUAAAGGAAUAAAGUGAGGCACGCGUGCCUUUCUGUAAGUACUUGAUGAAUAAGCAUCGGCUAACUCCGUGCCAGCAGCCGCGGUAAUACGGAGGAUCCGAGCGUUAUCCGGAUUUAUUGGGUUUAAAGGGUGCGUAGAUGGGUUGUUAAGUCAGUGGUGAAAGUUUGCGGCUCAACCGUUAAAUUGCAAUUGAUACUGGCUGCCUUGAGUACAGUGGAGGUAGGCGGAAUUCGUGGUGUAGCGGUUAAAUGCUUAGAUAUCACGAAGAACUCCGAUUGCGAAGGCAGCCUACUAAACUGCCACUUACAUUGAU